CAAGCAUUAGAAGAUAAUUAUGUAGAGGAUCAGUAUUUAAAGGACUUCAUCACGUACAUAUAUAAAUCCACGACCAAUUAAUCUUUUACCUACACUAAAGAUUGUUCUAAGAAGAUCCGAUGUUCUAUAUAGAGAUAACCAAGUAGAACGACAUCUUAUACGGGGACAAGUAAGUAAAUACACAUAACGAUAAACGGAGAUCACUGUACACUCUUCGUGAGUAGAUAUACAAAUAUAAAACUCGUCGACCCAUGUUGAUGUCAACGUCUUAGUAGUUCGGUUUAAAACCCUCCUACCGUAUUUUCUAAUGUAUUGGGUACGAAAACUUUAGUACCAUAAGAUAAAUACGAGGUAGGGUUUUAGAUAACACGCGACGAUUCAGGUACUCCGCUUCGUGAGUGACGAACUGGUAAAGAAAUGACUUAACCCUCACUGGUAAAGAAAUGACUUGACCCUCGUUGUCUCCGUUCUAUAAACUUUGUUCAAGUUCAGGAAAGCUAAGAACUAAAGAUCGUAUGUGUACGUUGGACU
rnacentral:rRNA from 1 species